rnacentral:ncRNA from 2 species
UAAUUAAAUAGGAUCUCUACUCAUAUAAUAGCGGGAAUAUGGCCCGCAAGUUUCUACCAGAUUGCCGUAAAUAAUCUGACUAUGGGUGAGCAAUGGAAGAAG